GAUGAACGCUGGCGGCGUGCCUAAUACAUGCAAGUCGAGCGAACAGAUGAGGAGCUUGCUCCUCUGACGUUAGCGGCGGACGGGUGAGUAACACGUGGAUAACCUACCUAUAAGACUGGGAUAACUUCGGGAAACCGGAGCUAAUACCGGAUAAUAUAUUGAACGGCAUGGUUCAAUAGUGAAAGACGGUUUUGCUGUCACUUAUAGAUGGAUCCGCGCCGCAUUAGCUAGUUGGUAAGGUAACGGCUUACCAAGGCAACGAUGCGUAGCCGACCUGAGAGGGUGAUCGGCCACACUGGAACUGAGACACGGUCCAGACUCCUACGGGAGGCAGCAGUAGGGAAUCUUCCGCAAUGGGCGAAAGCCUGACGGAGCAACGCCGCGUGAGUGAUGAAGGUCUUCGGAUCGUAAAACUCUGUUAUUAGGGAAGAACAAAUGUGUAAGUAACUAUGCACGUCUUGACGGUACCUAAUCAGAAAGCCACGGCUAACUACGUG
rnacentral:rRNA from 1 species